GGCCUGUUCGUCUAGCGGAGAGGAUACCGCUCUUUCAAGGCGGAGAGGAGGGUUCGACUCCCUCACGGGCUG
rnacentral:tRNA from 1 species